rnacentral:rRNA from 1 species
UACAGAGGUCCCAAGCGUUGUUCGGAUUCACUGGGCGUAAAGGGUGCGUAGGCGGUUUGAUAAGUCUGAUGUGAAAUCCCGCAGCUUAACUACGGAACUGCAUUGGAAACUAUUUGACUAGAGGAAUGGAGGGGAGACUGGAAUACUUGGUGUAGCAGUGAAAUGCGUAGAUAUCAAGUGGAACACCAGUGGCGAAGGCGAGUCUCUGGACAUUUCCUGACGCUGAGGCACGAAAGCCAGGGGAGCAAACGGG